GCCCUCCCUAACGCUGCGUUUCCAUGCUACAAACAGAGAGACUUCUCACGAAACCUCUCAGAUCCUUUUCUUCGGAACUGGAACAUCAACAAGCAUGUGGGAAAUUCGGAGUACUGCCUCAAACAUCACCUCCCGCCCCUCCUCGGGGAUGCGGACGGUCUGCCGGUAACGGCCUGGCGUCAAUCGACGCUUGCAAACGACAUCAGAAAUCUCGGAGCCGUCUCUUUGAAGCGUGUCUCCAUGGGAAGUCGUUGCGAGGCUUGUUUGGAGAAAACUGAAGUGCGAUACGCAGCGUCCUCUUUACGAGGAUGACUCAAUUCCGAUCACUCUGGGGAGGGC
rnacentral:RNase_P_RNA from 2 species